CAACGUAUGAAUAAUACGUGGCGAACGGCUCAGUAACACGUAGUCAACAUGCCCAGAGGACGUGGAUAACCUCGGGAAACUGAGGAUAAACCGCGAUAGGUCAUAAUUACUGGAAUGUGUUAUGGCCCAAAUCUAUAUGGCCUCUGGAUUGGACUGCGGCCGAUCAGGCUGUUGGUGAGGUAAUGGCCCACCAAACCUUUUACCGGUACGGGCUCUGAGAGGAGGAGCCCGGAGAUGGGCACUGAGACAAGGGCCCAGGCCCUAUGGGGCGCAGCAGGCGCGAAACCUCUGCAAUAGGCGAAAGCCUGACAGGGUUACUCUGAGUGAUUCCCGCUUAGGGAAUCUUUUGGCAUCUCUAAAAAUGGUGCAGAAUAAGGGGUGGGCAAGUC
rnacentral:rRNA from 1 species